AAUCCCUAAAAUCGUUGGUCCCUCGCCAUUUCUCCCGAUUGCGCCGACGGUCUCAGCUUCGGCGCACGCCGACACCCGAUCGCUGGCGCCAUGUCGCGAGUCGAGUCUCCGAUCUUCUCCACUCCUUAUCGGAGGUCUCAUCUAUAGUGUUCUCCUUCGAAAUGCCACUUCACGCAAGGGAUCUUCGAUCGUGUGAGGAUCGAGAUCUGAGCUCCGGUGACGCUGGAGUUGAAUUGCCUGUUCCAGUGCUCAAUCUUGGUUGAAGACUUGCGCUCCAAGCGGCUGCCUCACCUUCCCGAGCCCUAGAGCUGAGCUGAGUUCGUCGGAUUUCCCUGCGCUGCUGGUGGUGGUUUCUGUCAUCGAGUGGCUCACCGUAAAGGACUUGGCCACAAAUUCCAGCAGCAAAUUUCGCCGGUGGGCAGUCUGAGCAACUAUUCUCUGGCCGUGAACCACUAGCUUUGUAGAAGCUCCGAUUGUGGAUCUGUGGCAGCAGGCAUCACCACUGUGCUUGUGCCGGCAAUAGCACCUCCUGGCAGUGGGCCAACCGAGGACUUUGAUCGAGGCUAGUGUCGUGAUGAAGGUGACAUCGGAUUCAGACUACUUUUAGAGGUAUUUGGUACACCUGAUCUUCUAUUACUAACCUAGGAUAUGGUUUCAGGUAUGUACACUUAUUAUGAUAUCACUGUUGUAUUUGUUAUUUUGCCUACGAGACUGUAUACCUUUGUAUCUCUAGUUCUUUACUAUACUCAUGCAUUAUCUGUUCUAUUACCCUUUGAGUCUUAGUACUCACCACUCCGUAAAUUGAUUUAUUUCGCCAGGUAUUAGGUAAAGGCUUACGGAGUCACUUGGAGAACAUGUCCGCCAGUCCCACGUCACAUCUGAGGACGAUUUUCUGAUUUUGGUUUUUUAUAUUAUUUGCAUUAUUGGUUUUAUACUUGUUCUUGUAUUUUUAUGGAGUUUAGUUUUGUGAUAUCUUGUACUUGAAUUGAUGUAGUUGUCGUGUCAAGCCGGACCGACUUGCAGUUAGUUUUUUUGUUCGUUUCA